rnacentral:rRNA from 1 species
GAUGAACGCUGGCGGCGUGCCUAAUACAUGCAAGUCGAGCGAACAGACGAGGAGCUUGCUCCUCUGACGUUAGCGGCGGACGGGUGAGUAACACGUGGAUAACCUACCUAUAAGACUGGGAUAACUUCGGGAAACCGGAGCUAAUACCGGAUAAUAUAUUGAACCGCAUGGUUCAAUAGUGAAAGACGGUUUUGCUGUCACUUAUAGAUGGAUCCGCGCCGCAUUAGCUAGUUGGUAAGGUAACGGCUUACCAAGGCAACGAUGCGUAGCCGACCUGAGAGGGUGAUCGGCCAAACUGUAACUGAGACACGGUCCAGACUCCUACUGGAGGCAGCAGUAGGGAAUCUUCCGCAAUGGGCGAAAGCCUGACGGAGCAACGCCGCGUGAGUGAUGAAGGUCUUCGGAUCGUAAAACUCUGUUAUUAGGGAAGAACAAAUGUGUAAGUAACUAUGCACGUCUUGACGGUACCUAAUCAGAAAGCCACGGCUAACUACGUG